rnacentral:rRNA from 1 species
GAUGAACGCUGGCGGCGUGCCUAAUACAUGCAAGUCGAGCGAAGCGUGGACGGGUGAGUAACACGUGGAUAACCUCCUAUAAGACUGGGAUAACUUCGGGAAACCGGCGCUAAACCGGCUACUUAUCGAUGGAUCCGCGCUGCAUUAGCUGGUUGGUAAGGUAACGGCUUACCAAGGCAACGAUGCAUAUCCGACCUGAGAGGGGGAUCGGCCACACUGGAACUGAGAAACGGGCCAGACGCCUACGGGAGGCAGCAGUAGGGAAUCUGCCGCAAUGGGCGAAAGCCUGACGGAGCAACGCCGGGUGAGUGAUGAAGGUCUUCGGAUCGUAAAACUCUGUUAUUAGGGAAGCGGUACCUAAUCAGAAAGCCACGGCUAACGACGUGCCAGGAGCCGCGGUAAUACC